rnacentral:rRNA from 1 species
GGCGAACGCUGGCGGCGUGCCUAAUACAUGCAAGUCGAGCGCAGGAAGUCAUCCGAACCCUUCGGGGGGACGUUGACGGAAUGAGCGGCGGACGGGUGAGUAACACGUAAAGAACCUGCCCUCAGGUCUGGGAUAACCACGAGAAAUCGGGGCUAAUACCGGAUGGGUCAUCGGACCGCAUGGUCCGAGGAUGAAAGGCGCUCCGGCGUCGCCUGGGGAUGGCUUUGCGGUGCAUUAGCUAGUUGGUGGGGUAAUGGCCCACCAAGGCGACGAUGCAUAGCCGACCUGAGAGGGUGAUCGGCCACACUGGGACUGAGACACGGCCCAGACUCCUACGGGAGGCAGCAGUAGGGAAUCUUCCACAAUGGACGAAAGUCUGAUGGAGCAACGCCGCGUGAACGAUGAAGGCCCUCGGGUCGUAAAGUUCUGUUGUAAGGGAAGAACAAGUGCCGCAGGCAAUGGCGGCACCUUGACGGUACCUUGCGAGAAAGCCACGGCUAACUACGUG